rnacentral:rRNA from 1 species
AAGGGAGCGUAGGCGGCUGAUUAAGUCAGCGGUGAAAGGUAGCAGCUUAACUGUUUUACAUGCCGUUGAUACUGGUUAGCUUGAGUUGACAGAAGGCAGAUAGAAUUCCUGGUGUAGCGGUGAAAUGCUUAGAUACCAGGAGGAAUACCGAUUGCGAAGGCAGUCUGCUGCAGUCACACUGACGCUGAGGCUCGAAGGUGCGGGGAUCAAACAGGAUUAGAUACCCCUGU